rnacentral:lncRNA from 1 species
UUGUUGACUGGAGCACCUCUUUAAAGAGCUUCAGAAGUAUCUCUAUAUAUAGCUCCUGGAACAUCAUUGCCGGUGUUUUCAUCACCUCCAUGUGGAGGAGUAUGGGUAUACAUAACACAAUAAUGCUUGGAGUGCUUAAACGUAAAUAUACAGAGAGAUUACCUGCUCUGCAAAAUCUGGAAGGGGAAGCUCUGGUUAAGGUGAAUGACUGAUGCUUUGAUGAGAAAUUAAACCUUGAAAGUUUCUGCUGGAAUGUUAAGGCCCUCCCCAGUAUGUCUCUGAGGCA